rnacentral:misc_RNA from 1 species
UCCCUUCGAUCAGUAAUGUGAAUUGCAGAAUUCAGUGAAUCAUCGAAUCUUUGAACGCACAUUGCGCCCCCUGGUAUUCCGGGGGGCAUGCCUGUUCGAGCGUCAUUUCACCACUCAAGCCUCGCUUGGUAUUGGGCGACGCGGUCCGCCGCGCGCCUCAAAUCGACCGGCUGGGUCUUUCGUCCCCUCAGCGUUGUGGAAACUAUUCGCUAAAGGGUGCCGCGGGAGGCCACGCCGUAAAACAACCCCAUUUCUAAGGUUGACCUCGGAUCAGGUAGGGAUACCCGCUGAACUUAAGC